CCUGGCUCAGAUUGAACGCUGGCGGCAUGCUUUACACAUGCAAGUCGAACGGCAGCGGGUCCUUCGGGAUGCCGGCGAGUGGCGAACGGGUGAGUAAUGCAUCGGAACGUACCCAGUCGUGGGGGAUAACUACUCGAAAGAGUAGCUAAUACCGCAUACGACCUGAGGGUGAAAGCGGGGGACCGCAAGGCCUCGCGCGAUUGGAGCGGCCGAUGUCGGAUUAGCUAGUUGGUGGGGUAAAGGCUUACCAAGGCGACGAUCCGUAGCUGGUCUGAGAGGACGGCCAGCCACACUGGGACUGAGACACGGCCCAGACUCCUACGGGAGGCAGCAGUGGGGAAUUUUGGACAAUGGGCGCAAGCCUGAUCCAGCCAUGCCGCGUGCGGGAAGAAGGCCUUCGGGUUGUAAACCGCUUUUGUCAGGGAAGAAAAGCUCUGGGCUAAUACCUCGGAGUGAUGACGGUACCGAAGAAUAAGCAC
rnacentral:rRNA from 1 species